CCCCAUGUUGUCUUCCUAGCCCUCUCCACGCUCUCCUCUUUCUCAGUAAGCCAUAGUUGCCUUGACACAAUUCCUCCUUCCUCUCUCGCAUCCACAAUAGCAGAGGUCUAGAUCGGGCACAAAUUGUUCGUGCUUGACGAGAAAUCUGCCAUUUCAGAGUGCAAUCGCAGUCCUUUAUGAGUUUCGGACUCUUCAAGCACAAAAGGACGGGAAAGGCAGCGUCUCCCUUUCAACCCUUGUCGGUAAAGGAAGUUGUGGAAUCCCCACCAACACAUUUUCCUCGCAUCUUGAGCUGAUCAUCGACAACGGAGAAGGAGCCAAGCCGUGGGUUUGCAUCGUCGUUCCAUACAGGCUUUGUCAAGAGAGAUUCGCGAAGCUAGACAACCUUUUCAAGCCAAAGGAGACGAGGGUUCCUGGCUCAGCUAUAGUACGAGGCCCCCAUCUCCAUAGCUCUGCCUACCUCUUCUUCUUCUUUAAGACCGGCUCCUACUCAGCUUUGCAACCCUAUCUCGACUUGAAGAGGUAUUCUUCCCCUCCCUUCUCUCUCGAUUUGUUGAAUAAUUUGCCCGUGAGGGCUUAUCGGUUGCCUAUGGACGGUGUGCUGCUGCUUGUUCCUUGUGACCUGCAGUUGCCUAUGCUUUUAAUUGUUUUAACGCUACUUAAUUAUAUCAUCGCUUCUACAUUAUGACUUACAGUUUGCCCAUCUUCCUUCUGAGUGUUUUAACGCUGCUUUUAAUUGCAUCGCUACUUCUGCCUUGUGAUUUGCAGAGCAACCCAUAUGCUUCUCAGUGUUUUAAUGCUGCUUUGCAUCAUUGCUUUUGCCUUCUUAAAUAAAUUUGCACAAUCUGCUAUUGCUUCUUCCUUUUAUGUUGAUAUUGUUGCGGUUAAUUGUAAAUUGACUGAUAAUUGCGCUGAAAUCUAUUCAUUUUUACUGGUGAAAGCUAUUCUGUUUUGCUGCAAGUUCUUUGUGUAUUCUUGUUCAUGUUCUUUGGCUGCUUAUAUGUGGAAAUUCUACUCUGACAAGUGCAUCCAAGAUGGCUCCUAAGGGUGAGAAAAUUCUUGAGUAGACUGAUUAGAUGGAAUUCGCUUUCAUUCAUAUCAUGCUUGAGAAGUUGAAAAGGACCCACAUGACAUGUUGCAAGCAAAGGAAUUGGGUGGAGAUGAAUCUGGAGAUGGAAAUGCAAUUUUCCGAUGUCCAACUGGACUUUUAGAAGCUCCAGCAGAAGACAACGGGACUUAAGACUAUGUACAAGCAGUUCACUGAGGUUGCGAUGAAGACACCAACAUUAUAAGGGCAAGUCUCGAUGGGAUAAAUUUAUCAAGAAGAACAAGGCCUUCAAGACAUUCCGAACUACUGCAAGAACUACAAACUGUUGAAUGAGCUUUUCAAUUCAUCAACUGCUACCGGUUCUCUAUGCAUGUCCUUGACUAAUCCACCGAGGACUUCUGACGAUGAUCGACAAGUGCUAGAGGAAUUCCUAUCAACAUCCAAACAACAACAGAAACAGCCCAUCAACCUCGAAGAAGGCUCCGACCAGAGUGAUGACUCGGUCCAUGUGGUUGAAGAGUCGAUUAUAUCUGAAUCCUAACGUUGAGAAUGUAAAAGGCAUUUCUCAACAAGCUCACAACGGCAGGAGUGCUUGGACUUGUUCAUGGCCAGUUCCAAACCCAAGCCUAAGACCACCCCACCUGAGUCCAAUAGAAGCAAGUUGGUUUCCAGCCCUGGGAAGCCAUAGAAAAAUAACAUCGAGGAAGCGAUGACAGAGUUGAAUAAACUGAAACCGACAAUCUCGAUUGACGAGUAUAUGGCAAAGAGCUUAGCUAUCAUGGAUGACAGAGUGAGGAGGGUGUUAAUGUACUACUCGAAAGACGCAAAAAGGGAAUGGCUACGUCGCCUUACUCGCUCUUGAAUGAGCUCGGGAUUCCUCUUUAUAUUUAGGGUAAAUUGCACUGGUGGUUCAAAAAGUUUUAUAAAUGUUUCAAUAUGGUACAAAAAGUUUUUUUUGCUACUAAAUGGUACAAAA